rnacentral:rRNA from 1 species
UACGGGGGGAGCAAGCGUUGUUCGGAUUUACUGGGCGUAAAGGGCGCGUAGGCGGCCACGACAAGUCACUUGUGAAAUCUCCGGGCUUAACUCGGAAAGGUCAAGUGAUACUGUCGGGCUAGAGUACAGAAGGGGCAACUGGAGUUCUCGGUGUAGCGGUGAAAUGCGUAGAUAUCGAGAGGAACACCUGCGGCGAAGGCGGGUUGCUGGGCUGAUACUGACGCUGAUGCGCGAAAGCCAGGGGAGCGAACGGG